AUGGCGCUGUUCCGCAAGUUCUUCUUCAAGAAGCCUCCCGACGGGGUGCUCCUCAUCACGGAUAACAUCUACGUUUUCGAUCAUUGCUUCUCCUUGAAUACACCGGAAGAGGACCAGUUCGAGGCACACACCAGAGGCAUCGCAGCACAUCUUCUAGAAGACUUCCAUGAUCACUCAUUCAUGGUCACGAACUUCGGGACUCGGGCAGAGGAAAGCCGCUUAUACCACAUUUUAUCCGAGUAUGGCAUGACUGUUUUGGACUACCCGGGCCACUACGAGGGGUGUCCACUUCUCACCAUCGAAAUGGUCCACUGCAUCCUGAAGUCCAGCGAAAGCUGGCUCUCUCUGGGCCAGCACAACUUACUCAUAAUGCACUGCGAGCAAGGGUGCUGGCCUAUCCUGGCUUUCAUGCUAGCCGCUCUCUUGUUGUACCUGGGCCAGUAUUCAGAUGAGCAGAAAACACUGGAUAUGCUCUACAAACAAUCAUCUUCCGAGUUCUUGGAGAUGUUCUCACCUCUAAAUCCCAUGCCUUCUCAAAUUAGAUACUUGCGGUAUAUUUCGAUGAGGAAUGUCAUGCCUGAGUGGCCUCCCGCUGAUAGAGCCCUCACACUGGAUUGUCUGACUUUGAGGAUGCUUCCUGAUUUUCAAAGUCAAGGUGGUUUUUGUCCGAUAUUCAGGAUAUAUGGUCCAGAUCCACUCAUGCCCCAUGAUCAGACUCCCAAAGUUCUUUUUUCAACCCCCAAAACAAGUAAUCUUGUCCGUUUUAAUUCACAGGCAGAUGAACGGGUGAACAUAAACCUUCAAUGUCAUGUCCAAGGUGACGUUGUCAUAGAGUGUAGCAACUUGUAUGAUGAUCUAGAUCGCGAGGAGAUGGUAUUCCGGGUCAUGUUCAACACCGCUUUCAUCAGGUCAAACAUCUUGAUGCUCAGCCGUGAUGAAAUAGACAUGCUAUGGAAUGCAAAAGAUCAAUUCCCUAAAGAUUUUCGAGCUGAGAGCCUUUGA
rnacentral:rRNA from 1 species